rnacentral:rRNA from 1 species
CGGGGUUAGUGGCGGACGGGUGAGUAACACGUGGGAACGUGCCUUUAGGUUCGGAAUAGCUCCUGGAAACGGGUGGUAAUGCCGAAUGUGCCCUUCGGGGGAAAGAUUUAUCGCCUUUAGAGCGGCCCGCGUCUGAUUAGCUAGUUGGUGAGGUAAUGGCUCACCAAGGCGACGAUCAGUAGCUGGUCUGAGAGGAUGACCAGCCACAUUGGGACUGAGACACGGCCCAAACUCCUACGGGAGGCAGCAGUGGGGAAUCUUGCGCAAUGGGCGAAAGCCUGACGCAGCCAUGCCGCGUGAAUGAUGAAGGUCUUAGGAUUGUAAAAUUCUUUCACCGGGGACGAUAAUGACGGUACCCGGAGAAGAAGCCCCGGCUAACUUCGUGCCAGCAGCCGCGGUAAUACGAAGGGGGCUAGCGUUGCUCGGAAUUACUGGGCGUAAAGGGCGCGUAGGCGGACAUUUAAGUCAGGGGUGAAAUCCCAGAGCUCAACUCUGGAACUGCCUUUGAUACUGGGUGUCUUGAGUGUGAGAGAGGUAUGUGGAACUCCGAGUGUAGAGGUGAAAUUCGUAGAUAUUCGGAAGAACACCAGUGGCGAAGGCGACAUACUGGCUCAUUACUGACGCUGAG